UGAAUACCUGCACAGCAGAUUAAUAGUCGGUUUUAUAUUUCUAUUUCAGAUAAAUAACCCCCUUUGGUACUUAGCAGGGAUAGAUACAUUUUCUCUGUCUGCUGCGAGUAGGUAUCCAGUGGGACCUGUUUUUUCUACAGCACUGUGUCACUUUGGAUAUUGCAAACUACAAGCCACUUUUCUGCGAUGUUAAUAGAAACUACUAUAUCAAUAAUAGUUAAUAGAAACUAUUAUAUUACUUGACACUUUAUGAAUUUUGUAUAAAGAUUUUACACCCAUA